UUUUCGCAACACGAUGAUCCAUAGGUUAAUGAGGCGAACCGGGGGAACUGAAACAUCUAAGUACCCCGAGGAAAAGAAAUCAACCGAGAUUCCCCCAGUAGCGGCGAGCGAACGGGGAGGAGCCCAGAGCCUGAAUCAGCAUGUGUGUUAGUGGAAGCGUCUGGAAAGGCGCGCGAUACAGGGUGACAGCCCCGUACACAAAAGCGCAUGUGCUGUGAGCUCGAUGAGUAGGGCGGGACACGUGGUAUCCUGUCUGAAUAUGGGGGGACCAUCCUCCAAGGCUAAAUACUCCUGACUGACCGAUAGUGAACCAGUACCGUGAGGGAAAGGCGAAAAGAACCCCGGCGAGGGGAGUGAAAAAGAACCUGAAACCGUGUACGUACAAGCAGUGGGAGCCCCGGUGAUCUAGCCAUGGGCAGGUUGAAGGUUGGGUAACACUAACUGGAGGACCGAACCGACUAAUGUUGAAAAAUUAGCGGAUGACCUGUGGCUGGGGGUGAAAGGCCAAUCAAACCGGGAGAUAGCUGGUUCUCCCCGAAAGCUAUUUAGGUAGCGCCUCGUGAAUUCAUCUCCGGGGGUAGAGCACUGUUUCGGCU
rnacentral:rRNA from 1 species